rnacentral:hammerhead_ribozyme from 1 species
AUCCAGCUGACGAGUCCGAAAUAGGACGGAAUUUUCAUCCUGGAU